AGGGUUUGAUCAUGGCUCAGAUUGAACGCUGGCGGUAUGCUUAACACAUGCAAGUCGAACGGCAGCAUGUCCUUUCUUCGGAAAAGAUGAUGGCGAGUGGCGGACGGGUGAGUAACACGUAGGUAUCUACCUUGUAGUGGGGGACAACUUGGGGAAACUCGAGCUAAUACCGCAUAACCUCUACGGAGUAAAGCUGGGGACCUUUUAGGCCUGGCGCUAUAAGAUGAGCCUGCGGCAGAUUAGCUAGUUGGUGGGGUAAAGGCCUACCAAGGCGACGAUCUGUAGCUGGUCUGAGAGGAUGAUCAGCCACACUGGGACUGAGACACGGCCCAGACUCCUACGGGAGGCAGCAGUGGGGAAUUUUGGACAAUGGGCGAAAGCCUGAUCCAGCAAUACCGCGUGUGUGACGAAGGCCUUCGGGUCGUAAAGCACUUUCAAUUGUGAAGAAAUGCACACGGUUAAUACCCGUGUGAGCUGACGUUAACAAUAGAAGAAGCACCGGCUAACUCUGUGCCAGCAGCCGCGGUAAUUC
rnacentral:rRNA from 1 species